rnacentral:rRNA from 1 species
GCGAGUGGCGGGUGCUAUACAUGCGUCGAGCGGACAGAUGGGAGCUUGCUCCCUGAUGUUAGCGGCGGACGGGUGAGUAACACGUGGGUAACCUGCCUGUAAGACUGGGAUAACUCCGGGAAACCGGGGCUAAUACCGGAUGGUUGUCUGAACCGCAUGGUUCAGACAUAAAAGGUGGCUUCGGCUACCACUUACAGAUGGACCCGCGGCGCAUUAGCUAGUUGGUGAGGUAACGGCUCACCAAGGCGACGAGCGUAGCCGACCUGAGAGGGUGAUCGGCCACACUGGGACUGAGACACGGCCCAGACUCCUACGGGAGGCAGCAGUAGGGAAUCUUCCGCAAUGGACGAAAGUCUGACGGAGCAACGCCGCGUGAGUGAUGAAGGUUUUCGGAUCGUAAAGCUCUGUUGUUAGGGAAGAACAAGUGCCGUUCAAAUAGGGCGCACCUUGACGGUACCUAACCAGAAAGCCACGGCUAACUACGUGCCAGCAGCCGCGGUAAUACGUAGGUGGCAAGCGUUGUCCGGAAUUAUUGGGCGUAAAGGGCUCGCAGGCGGUUUCUUAAGUCUGAUGUGAAAGCCCCCGGCUCAACCGGGGAGGGUCAUUGGAAACUGGGGAACUUGAGUGCAGAAGAGGAGAGUGGAAUUCCACGUGUAGCGGUGAAAUGCGUAGAGAUGUGGAGGAACACCAGUGGCGAAGGCGACUCUCUGGUCUGUAACUGACGCUGAGGAGCGAAAGCGUGGGGAGCGAACAGGAUUAGAUACCCUGGUAGUCCACGCCGUAAACGAUGAGUGCUAAGUGUUAGGGGGUUUCCGCCCCUUAGUGCUGCAGCUAACGCAUUAAGCACUCCGCCUGGGGAGUACGGUCGCAAGACUGAAACUCAAAGGAAUUGACGGGGGCCCGCACAAGCGGUGGAGCAUGUGGUUUAAUUCGAA